UAAUUACCGUAUUUGUACGGUAAAUUGAUGCCAAAUACGGUAUACGGUCCGAAGGGGCUACCGUACGCCAAAAUACGGUAAUUUCGUAAUUUCAAUGCCUCAGUUAUUAGAAAUGUUUUUUGAAAGAUGCCAGCUUUUCUACUCAUGUCUCUGUGUAGAAAUUAGAAAACGAUAUACACCAGCAGUUCCCAUCAUUAGCUCAUUUGCUCCAAAAUAUGACACGUUUUUAUGACAGUAGUGAAGGUCAACUAAUCGAUGAACAGUGGAGGUUGCUGCCAGAUUACCAUUUUACUGCUGAUGAAGAAAAAAAAUAGACAUCAACGAGGACAUUGACAUAUUCUGGGGAAAACUCCAAAAAUAUACAAAUGAAAUGGGUGUAUUUGAAUUCCAGAAAUUGUCGCAGUUCGUACUGAAUAUAUUAUCCCUUCCGCACUCAAAUGCUGAAUGCGAAAAAGAGUCUCCAGUAAAAUAAACUUGGUUAAAACAAAAUCAAGAAAUAAGUUAAUAACUAAUACAAUCAAUGGUUGUUUAUUAACGUCUCAGUGUGUGAAAAAAGAUGGUAACUGCGUAGAUUUUACACCUACUCAGAAUAUGUAUGCAAGAAUGAACAAAAUUGAUAUGUAUUCUAAUUCUUCCAGUUCUAGUAUCGAAGUUGAUGAAGAUGAAUUUGUCAUAGACGGUUGAAAUAUAAAUUUUUGAAAAGAGGACACAUGAAUGCAAAUCAUAUUUAUGUUACAAUGGAAUCAGAAGGUUUUACAGAAGCAAGUAGCAGUUCGGCCACCCCCAAACGUAGUGGUAGUAAGCUGAGCCCCUUAACCAACCAGAGAAUUGAAAGAAUGAAGGCUAAAAUCAAUUCUUUGAAGUGCAAAAUAUUUAGGCGUAAAGUUCCCCACUGUUU